rnacentral:rRNA from 1 species
AGAGUUUGAUCCUGGCUCAGAUUGAACGCUGGCGGCAGGCCUAACACAUGCAAGUCGAGCGGUAACAGGAAGUAGCUUGCUACUUUGCUGACGAGCGGCGGACGGGUGAGUAAUGCUUGGGAACAUGCCUUGAGGUGGGGGACAACAGUUGGAAACGACUGCUAAUACCGCAUAAUGUCUACGGACCAAAGGGGGCUUCGGCUCUCGCCUUUAGAUUGGCCCAAGUGGGAUUAGCUAGUUGGUGAGGUAAUGGCUCACCAAGGCGACGAUCCCUAGCUGGUUUGAGAGGAUGAUCAGCCACACUGGGACUGAGACACGGCCCAGACUCCUACGGGAGGCAGCAGUGGGGAAUAUUGCACAAUGGGCGCAAGCCUGAUGCAGCCAUGCCGCGUGUGUGAAGAAGGCCUUCGGGUUGUAAAGCACUUUCAGUCAGGAGGAAAGGUUAGUAGUUAAUACCUGCUAGCUGUGACGUUACUGACAGAAGAAGCACCGGCUAACUCCGUGCCAGCAGCCGCGGUAAUACGGAGGGUGCGAGCGUUAAUCGGAAUUACUGGGCGUAAAGCGUACGCAGGCGGUUUGUUAAGCGAGAUGUGAAAGCCCCGGGCUCAACCUGGGAACUGCAUUUCGAACUGGCAAACUAGAGUGUGAUAGAGGGUGGUAGAAUUUCAGGUGUAGCGGUGAAAUGCGUAGAGAUCUGAAGGAAUACCGAUGGCGAAGGCAGCCACCUGGGUCAACACUGACGCUCAUGUACGAAAGC